rnacentral:rRNA from 1 species
GUCUCAGUUCAGAUUGCAGGCUGCAACUUGCCUGCAUGAAGUCGGAAUUGCUAGUAAUCGCAGAUCAGCAUGCUGCGGUGAAUACGUUCCCGGGCCUUGUACACACCGCCCGUCACACCAUGGGAGUCGGUAACACCCGAAGUCGGUAGCCUAACCGUAAGGAGGGCGCCGCCGAAGGUGGGAUUGAUGACUGGGGUGAAGUCGUAACAAGGUAAC